rnacentral:rRNA from 1 species
GAUGAACGCUGGCGGCGUGCUUAACACAUGCAAGUCGAACGGAGCACCCUUGAUAGAGGUUUCGGCCAAUUGAUAGGAAUGUUCAGUGGCGGACGGGUGAGUAACGCGUGAGCAACCUACCUUUCAGUGGGGAAUAACAGCUGGAAACGGCUGAUAAUACCGCAUAAUGUAUCGGAAUCACAUGGUUCUGAUACCAAAGAUUUAUCGCUGAAAGAUGGGCUCGCGUCUGAUUAGCUAGUUGGUGGGGUAAUGGCCCACCAAGGCGACGAUCAGUAGCCGGACUGAGAGGUUGACCGGCCACAUUGGGACUGAGAUACGGCCCAGACACCUACGGGAGGCAG